AUUGAACGCUGGCGGUAUGCUUUACACAUGCAAGUCGAACGGCAGCGCGGGCUUCGGCUUGGCGGAGGGUGGCCAACUGGCGGGUGGUACAGCGAAACAUCGGCAGCUACUUUUUCUAGGGGGGCAACGGCCGGAUUCAUACGCCAAUCCCGCAUACGACGAACGCGUGGAAUCAUCGGACCUUGCGCUCUUGCGGCGGCCAAUGGGCGGAUGGCGGAUUAGCUAGUUGGCGGGGUAAAGGCCCACCAAGGCGACGAUCCGUAGCUGGUCUGAGAGGACGAUCAGCCACACUGGGACUGAGACACGGUCCAGACUCCUACGGGAGGCAGCAGUGGGGAAUUUUGGACAAUGGGCGAAAGCCUGAUCCAGCAAUGCCGCGUGGGUGAAGAAGGCCUUCGGGUUGUAAAGCACUUUUGUCGGGAAAGAAAAGGACUGUGCUAAUACCACGGUGUGAUGACGGUACCCGAAGAAUAAGCACCGGCUAACUUCGUG
rnacentral:rRNA from 1 species